AUGACCUUCAUUUUCUCCCCUCCUUCUCUCUGUAAAACCUAGCAGCCGCCACCACCAGAAACAUGGUUUUAUGUUGUCCUUCAUUAAUAGCUAAAGGGGGGAAAUCCCCCAAAAUUUUAAAGUACCCCGCUCACACUCUCCUUAGAUCUCCAACCGAUGGAUCGACCUUCUUUCUCACCCCCCCUCUCUGUAACACCCUCGCUUCAUAAAUAAAUCUCUCUCAUCCUUCUAUGGUAUGUAUGUAUGUUGUGAUAAUGCAUGUAUGUGUAUAUGUAUGUGUGUGUGUGUGAGAGUGUUUGGGUGAGUUGGAAGUAUGUAUGUGUGAAACCAUAGAGUUUGAGUUCAUCGCAUUUGUUCUUAUAUCCUUCAACUAUGCAAAUCAGAAAUAGCACCCCAAAAUCAAAAGUCAGCAACAAUUGAUGAAGGUUACUGGAAUCAAGAGAAAUCAUCUCCUACUCUGAAUCGGAGACAAACCACAUAUUUGGAAGAGGCCCUGAAGAUUAUGGUGAAACAUUCCAUCUAUUUCCAUGGAAAUGUCAGACUUUAAGCCAAUAAGCCAUGAUUGGUUUGAAAAAUACUCUAACAGCUGCUCAUGCCUGCUCAUGUAAGUGUGUACUUCAUAACACUCACCAUUCUUUUUAAAAAUGGUUUUGGUUAUUUUAUUUAUUUUCUUUUGCUUAUGAAUCAGGGGUGAAGUAUAUAAGGGCCAGGAGGGGUUGUCCCCCCCCCCCUUAUUUUUUUUAUUAGAAGUGUAAAUUGUCUGUAUCUUUUUUAUCCAUAUUAGGCGUAGACUUUAAAAAUUGGGUUGUGGCCCCUCCUGUGCUUUCCAAUAGUUCGAAUCAAAUAAAAAAACCAAUCAUCAUUAUCCUUUAUCCCUACCCUCGUGACUCGUCUGAAGUCUGAAACAAAAAUUCCUUAAUCGUUGCUACGUGCAUGCUGUCAUGCUAUUCGGCUGUUGCUGAUGAGACAAUCAGUCAAUUAGCACUCCUACCUUAUUCUCCAACUCCAAGUAUGAAGUCUGAAUUCUAAAGUCUUGCCUGAAGCCUGGAAUUAAUUGAUCAAUGUGAAUACUGAAUUGUGAAGUGAAGCCUGGAAAAAAUGACAAUCUUAAUUACUUAAUCAGGUUUGUUUUUUUAUUUUAUAAUUUUUUUUCACAAUGCAGGAUUUGAACUUACAAAGAUCAACUUAACGACACAAAAAAUAACUAAGAUAGUCUAUAUAUUAUUGAACUUACAAAGAUCCUUCUGUCUAGAUGUUUCUGCAUUACUGUCCCACAGUUUCUUUUUUGUCAAGAAAAACUUAAAUCUUACACAAGAAAAGCUUAAAUCUUAUUUGUGUACAUUAUGGCCAUCCAGUGCUUACAUUCACAUUUUCAGGAUGGAGCAUCCUACACAAAACAAAAUCUUGGUAAGUUCACUUAUUCAGUAAGGGACAAUGCAGCUGGUACAGUUGCAAAGAUUAUUAUGGCCCACCAGAAUGUUGUCCCACUAUAUCA